rnacentral:rRNA from 1 species
GAUGAACGCUGGCGGCGUGCCUAAUACAUGCAAGUCGAACGAAACUUCUUUAUCACCGAGUGCUUGCACUCACCGAUAAAGAGUUGAGUGACGAACGGGUGAGUAACACGUGGGCAACCUGCCCAAAAGAGGGGGAUAACACUUGGAAACAGGUGCUAAUACCGCAUAACCAUAGUUACCGCAUGGUAACUAUGUAAAAGGUGGCUAUACUACCGCUUUUGGAUGGGCCCGCGGCGCAUUAGCUAGUUGGUAGGGUAAAGGCUUACCAAGGCAAUGAUGCGUAGCCGAAUUGAGAGGUUGAUCGGCCACAUUGGGACUGAGACACGGCCCAAACUCCUACGGGAGGCAGCAGUAGGGAAUCUUCCACAAUGGGCGAAAGCCUGAUGGAGCAACGCCGCGUGGGUGAAGAAGGUCUUCGGAUCGUAAAACCCUGUUGUUAGAGAAGAAAGUGCGUGAGAGUAACUGUUCACGUUUCGACGGUAUCUAACCGGAAAGCCACGGCUAACUACGUG